rnacentral:rRNA from 1 species
CAGAGGUCCCAAGCGUUGUUCGGAUUCACUGGGCGUAAAGGGUGCGUGGGCGGUCGGAUAAGUCUGAUGUGAAAUCUCCGAGCUUAACUCGGAAAUGGCAUUGGAUACUAUUCGGCUUGAGGUCUGGAGGGGGGACUGGAAUUCUCGGUGUAGCAGUGAAAUGCGUAGAUAUCGAGAGGAACACCAGUGGCGAAGGCGAGUCCCUGGACAGGUCCUGACGCUGAGGCACGAAAGCUAGGGGAGCAAACAGGAUUAGAUACCCUGGUAGUCCUAGCCGUAAACGGUGUGUAUUUGCUGUAAAAGGAAUCGACCCCUUUUGUGGCGUAGCAAACGCGUCAAAUACACCGCCUGGGAAGUACGGUCGCAAGAUUA